UCUCCACCAUUUUCAGAUCCAU
rnacentral:siRNA from 1 species